CUGAAACCAUUUGAAUUUAACCUGUGAAGUCUCUGAAUGGGAAGCCAUAGCCCAAAUGGCCCUCUUCUUCAAUUGGCCCUGUGUCUGGAUUAUGUCGCCAAAGUUUGAUGUUAUACCAAGGACAGCUGGGAGCCCCUGAUCUCUGCCAGUUGGGCCUCCACAGUAUCAAUCAGACACUGGAUCUGGGCCAGUAAGGACGUGUAGCGGGCCUCUGUCUCCACCAGGAUGCACUCCUGGGAAUCUCUCUACCAUGGUGGAAGAAAGCACAGCUGCUGCUGUUGAGAGCUGGUCACCACCUGCUGGUUCAGCCCCUCCAUCUGAAACACAGGCAGACACCAUGCAUGUUAUGAAGGAAAACAUGCCUUUGAUGGAAGGCUGCCUGGAAACACAAGGUCAGCUUUUUGGUUUUGACUUUCCUACCCUCCCCACCUGCGUGUUGAACCACUGUUCCAGUUCCCUGUGGUUUGUCUCCAUGAUGGACUCGUACUGACAUCUUGUUUCUUGUAGAACCUGGUUUAGAUCAACAGAUGGGGCGGCGGUCACUUCAAUGUUGAGUCUGUCCCCAAGCUGACUCUGUAAGGAAUUGAUUUCCUGUGGAAAGAGAAAGAAUGUGAAGUCACUUGGUGAACACAUGACACCCUUGUGUUCUUGUUUGUCUAAAAGCAAUAAUUUAGCUUAAUCGUGUCUGAAAUAGCUCACAGUAAUGAU